rnacentral:lncRNA from 14 species
GGCUGCCCUGCCACAGAAAUGGGUCAGACAAGUUACAAGACCUGUAGAUUGCUCGGAUGGGGAUCCACCUAGCAACACCACCGCACUAAUUCUGGAUUGGGAAAUUUGCCCUACAGGAGUUUGUCUUGAUUAAAGGCUUCAGCCUGUCUUUGCAACACAAACACAGGAGCCCCCAUGCUGCUCUCUGAAAUUUACAGCGUAUUUUCUUUUUACUCAAGCAUAUUGAAGCAGAACAGAAGAAAGGAUCAAAGCUAAAGAGGUUUCAGUGGUUUCCAACUGGAAAUUGCUUGGAAAAUGAAGACAUGAUGACGUGAAUGUGUGUAACAGCAGGAGAAAUGUUGCAGUUCUCCAUAAUCUGUAAACCUGCAAGAUUUGUAGAAUCGUAUCUCUGUGGGAGCUCCUAGCCUUGAUGAGUGCCUCAGUGCACCUUGUGUGGGAAAUGGCACCUGCAGAUCCUCACCAGCUUCAUAGAGAUGGUGUUCAUGUGCAGUGGGGUUCUUUAAUGGUUGCUUAUUUGUUACUUACCUGGAGGCCCAGAGAAUUUGGCAUUUUGGCAGAAUUUCAGGGGUUUUUAUGUUUUCCUGUGCUGUUGAUUGUGCUGGGACUAACACCAAGUCGAUGGAGCACCUCCUUGGGUGGGCAGAGCAAAAGUCAGCACCCUCAGGAGAAAGCAUGUGAUGAGGAGGGAUGGCUUUCAUGUGGGAGACAGGGCAGAGAUGGAGGAAACCUGGCUCCUGCUGCAGCACCCUUCCCACUACCCUGA